ACUACACACACACACACACACACACACACACACGUCAAAUCUAUCUCUAACCUGUCGAUGGGGCAGAGUGUCAAAGAUAUAACCUGUAGCCUAAACUGAACCUGCAACUUAAAAAAUACAGACAACAUUUUGACAACCUGAACGACACUGGAAACGAACAGAUACAAUGAUAAAAGACGACCUAACUAAGUUACUGGGCCCCUUUACUCUUGGAGGACUUAUUCACAUAUUACUGCAUAAUAACACGCUGUUGCCCAGGCAGCCGCUAGAUCUGCUAGAUCUGCCGCUAGAUCUGCUAGAUCUGCCGCUAGAUCUGCCCCUAGAUCUGCCGCUAGAUCUGCCCCUAGAUCUGCCCCUAGAUCUGCCGCUAGAUCUGCCCCUAGAUCUGCCGCUAGAUCUGCCCCUAGAUCUGCCGCUAGAUCUGCCAGAUUUGCCGCUAGAUCUGCCAGAUCUGCCGCUAGAUCUGCGCUGUCGCAGGGCUGCCAACUGUUGAAGAAAGCUUGGAGUGAGAUUUGCCAUUUGGAUUUCAUUGCCCCCCUGGCGCACCCCCUAGACGGGGAACUGGGGGUGCUCCAUCAGGAACAUUUUACUCUUUUACAGAUCAUUUCCUGCAUUCUACGUGUCUUGACAUGGCUUAGGCCUGUGACUAGGGUGGACAAUAAAACCCACAGGUCAGGUGAUUUAGGUUCAGGUUUAGGUUCAGGUUUAAACAUUACAUGGACACUCACCAUUUGAUGACUGAGAGUUUUUUUUUGGGGGGGGGGGCAUUUAAAGUAUGCUAAUAUUUUGUAAAUAUAUUUUUUAGUUGGUUGUCACUUUGCUCAGACAGUGGGAAGGUUGUAAGCAGGAUCCCUGUUCUCUAGAAACAGUGGAAGGUUGUAAGCAGGAUCCCUGUUCUCUAGAAACAGUGGAAGGUUGGACGCAGGAUCCCUGUUCUCUAGAAACAGUGGGAAGGUUGGAAGCAGGAUCCCUGUUCUCUAGAAACUGUGGGAAGGUUGGAAGCAGGGAUCCCUGUUCUCUAGAAACAGUGGAAAGAUUGGAAGCAGGAUCCCUGUUCUCUAGAAACAGUGGCAAGGUUGGAAACAGUGGAUCCCUGUUCUCUAGAAACAGUGGCAAGGUUGGAAACAGUGGAUCCCUGUUCUCUAGAAACAGUGGAAGGUUGGACGCAGGAUCCCUGUUCUCUAGAAACUGUGGGAAGAUUGGAAGCAGGAUCCCUGUUCUCUAGAAACAGUGGAAGGUUGGACGCAGGAUCCCUGUUCUCUACAAACAGUGGGAAGGUUGGAAGCAGGAUCCCUGUUCUCUAGAAACAGUGGAUCCCUGUUCUCUAGAAACAGUGGGAAGGUUGGAAGCAGGAUCCCUGUUCUCUAGAAACAGUGGGAAGGUUGGAAGCAGGAUCCCUGUUCUCUAGAAACAGUGGGAAGGUUGGAAGCAGGAUCCCUGUUCUCUAGAAACAGUGGGAAGGUUGGAAGCAGGAUCCCUGUUCUCUAGAAACAGUGGGAAGGUUGGAAGCAGGAUCCCUGUUCUCUAGAAACAGUGGAAAGGUUGGAAGCAGGGAUCCCUGUUCUCUAGAAACAGUGGGAAGGUUGGAAGCAGGAUCCCUGUUCUCUAGAAACAGUGGAAAGGUUGGAAGCAGGAUCCCUGUUCUCUAGAAACAGUGGAAAGGUUGGAAGCAGGGAUCCCUGUUCUCUAGAAACAGUGGGAAGGUUGGAAGCAGGAUCCCUGUUCUCUAGAAACAGUGGAAAGGUUGGAAGCAGGAUCCCUGUUCUCUAGAAACAGUGGAAAGGUUGGAAGCAGGGAUCCCUGUUCUCUAGAAACAGUGGGAAGGUUGGAAGCAGGGAUCCCUGUUCUCUAGAAACAGUGGAAAGGUUGGAAGCAGGGAUCCCUGUUCUCUAGAAACAGUGGGAAGGUUGGAAGCAGGAUCCCUGUUCUCUAGAAACAGUGGAAAGGUUGGAAGCAGGGAUCCCUGUUCUCUAGAACAGUGGGAAGGUUGGAAGCAGGGAUCCCUGUUCUCUAGAAACAGUGGGAAGGUUGGAAGCAGGAUCCCUGUUCUCUAGAAACAGUGGGAAGGUUGGAAGCAGGGAUCCCUGUUCUCUAGAAACAGUGGGAAGGUUGGAAGCAGGGAUCCCUGUUCUCUAGAAACAGUGGGAAGAUUGGAAGCAGGGAUCCCUGUUCUCUAGAAACAGUGGGAAGGUUGGAAGCAGGAUCCCUGUUCUCUAGAAACAGUGGGAAGGUUGGAAGCAGGGAUCCCUGUUCUCUAGAAACAGUGGGAAGGUUGGAAGCAGGGAUCCCUGUUCUCUAGAAACAGUGGGAAGGUUGGAAGCAGGGAUCCCUGUUCUCUAGAAACAGUGGGAAGGUUGGAAGCAGGAUCCCUGUUCUCUAGAAACAGUGGAAAGUUUGGAAGCAGGAUCUCUGUUCUCUAGAAACAGUGGGAAGCAGGGAUCCCUGUUCUCUAGAAACAGUGGGAAGGUUGGAAGCAGGAUCCCUGUUCUCUAGAAUCAGUGGAAAGGUUGGAAGCAGGGAUCCCUGUUCUCUAGAAACAGUGGAAAGGUUGGAAGCAGGGAUCCCUGUUCUCUAGAAACAGUGGGAAGGUUGGAAGCAGGGAUCCCUGUUCUCUAGAAACAGUUGGAAGCAGGAUCCCUGUUCUCUAGAAACAGUGGGAAGCAGGGAUCCCUGUUCUCUAGAAACAGUGGGAAGGUUGGAAGCAGGGAUCCCUGUUCUCUAGAAACAGUUGGAAGGUUGGAAGCAGGAUCCCUGUUCUCUAGAAACAGUGGGAAGGUUGGAAGCAGGAUCCCUGUUCUCUAGAAACAGUUGGAAGCAGGGAUCCCUGUUCUCUAGAAACAGUGGGAAGGUUGGAAGCAGGAUCCCUGUUCUCUAGAAACAGUUGGAAGCAGGAUCCCUGUUCUCUAGAAACAGUGGAAGCAGGGAUCCCUGUUCUCUAGAAACAGUUGGAAGCAGGGAUCCCUGUUCUCUAGAAACAGUGGAUCUCUGUUCUCUAGAAACAGUGGGAAGGUUGGAAGCAGGAUCCCUGUUCUCUAGAAACAGUGGGAAACAGGAUCCCUGUUCUCUAGAAACAGUGGGAAGGUUGGAAGCAGGGAUCCCUGUUCUCUAGAAACAGUUGGAAGCAGGGAUCCCUGUUCUCUAGAAACAGUUGGAAGCAGGGAUCCCUGUUCUCUAGAAACAGUGGGAAGCAGGGAUCCCUGUUCUCUAGAAACAGUGGGAAGCAGGGAUCCCUGUUCUCUAGAAACAGUGGGAAGCAGGAUCCCUGUUCUCUAGAAACAGUGGGAAGCAGGGCUCCCUGUUCUCUAGAAACAGUGGGAAGCAGGGCUCCCUGUUCUCAGGUGGAAAGUUGUAUGUGAUACGCGGCAGGAAUUGUCACCAAUACACUAAGGAUCUGCACAGGAAAUGGUCAUAUUGAUGGCAGUGGGUAAACAAAUCAUAGAUUGAUUGCAGUGUCCUUGUCCAUAGACUUAUUUCAAGAUAAGGUCACAAAGAUUUUAUAUUUGGGUUUAACUCUCUCUUUAAAAAUAGGGCUAAUUUCUCUAAAUCACCCAACCUUCAAGAAAAAGCUAUUGAAUAUCAAUAUUCAGGUGGUUUAUAUCUACUAGUUGGAGAUCCUCGUACUCUACACAGUCUAAUCUUGAGGGGCGUUUCUUUAAAACAUGCACCCAAUCCCCUUGAUCCCUUACAUAACUAGACCAAUCAUAUGCUUCAAAGUGCCACGGUUCACGGUUAAGUUAAUUGACCUUUAUUUAACUAGGCAUGUCAGUUAAGAACACGUUCGUAUUUACAAUGACGGUGCUGUGGCAAGACUGGACAAUGAUAGAGGUUCCGCUCGUGAUGUUAAAUUGCAGGCGUAGAUGCUCCGAUUUCAAAACGACUUGGAGCACAGUUCAAAAUGAACGCGUUGACUAUACAAUCUACUAAGUAGAAAGAACGUGAAAAGAGGGUAAAAUGCGGACAAUGUGUUUUAUUACUUUGUAAACAUACUCACAAAAGUGAUGUAUCAGUCUCUUGUCCAGCGCGGCUGAGAUGAAUUGCACAGAUACAAACCUUUAUUCCAGAUGUAAACUAACUAACUCGAACUAGUCAGCACCUAAUCAGCUGUGGUCAAGGUCCAUCCUAUGGUGUCCCUGCGUGACCAAACAUAGCUGAGGGAGAGCGCGUCCUCUUUGACACAUCCGCUCAUUCUGACGAUGGUGCAAUCUGUAGUUCGUUUUUCAGCCAAACGGCAGCCCCGCGACUUUUUCCUUCACAUUCAUGUCUCUAUAACAGAGCCUUGGUCAGGUUGUCUUACUGCCUACAAGGUUCUAUAUUUUUUACCAAGUUAUUACUGUGUUAUGUGUUCGGUUAUUAAUGGGUUGUGUUGUACUUACCAGUGUUCGCGGGGUCCCGACAUGCCAAUCAACCUGCUAUCUGCCAAUCACGGGGAUGCCUGGAAUGUUCUGAUGCCGGGCUUCCUGGUGGUUGGUGGAGAGGCGUGGAGGGGGGUUGGGCAGGGAGCAUUGGAGGUUAAGACCAGGUUUAGCCAUUGUUCUUUCUCUUACGUCUGGCCUUCACAAGAGAAGCUCACGUUUUUUUAAUAGGGUAUCCUUCAUUUAUUUGGCCUGGGCUAUGGCCACAGUAGCCUGUGUAAAGUUGGGUUAAUAAACCGUCAAUUCGUAAACUCAA